ACUGGAGUCAGCACAAUGUAUAGGCGUUUGGGUCUCGGGUGUGUUCCACUGUGUACAAGAUCAUGAGAGGAACAGAUCGGGUAGACGCACAGAGUCUCUUGCCCAGAGUAGGGGAAUUGAGAACCAGAGGUCAUGGGUUUAAGCCAGUUACAUCUUCCUGCACCCAAAUACCAAUCCAGUUCUAUUCCAUUCCACUGUGGCCCAUUCUUAGUCACGUGUGUGACCAACAAGAGGAUAAAUUGUGGACUACAACUCUUCUAAUUCUGAAAGCACCACAGCCCUUCUCAGCCGUCGAGAGCUGCAUGUAAUGCAACUGGAAACAUGAGGAGAAAGGACAGUACUGGCUGUACGUUCAGCUCAGGCACUGCAUGCACCAACGGCAACUCGGAACAUGCUUCAACAGAGCCCUUUAUUAAAGAAUCAUUGCCAACGAAUGGACAAUCCAUCAAAUGCAAAACAAUCCACAGUUUAUGCAUCAUGCAUCUCUAAGCUCUAACUUUAAAUCUCUGACUAUAAUUAAUACUUGAGGAAUUGGCACAAUAUGCCAGGAGCAUUAUUUCCUUUCAGUGCACACAAGUUACAACAUAAAACUUAGAACAGUAAAGCAAAAGGAACAGGCCUUUCGGCCCACAAUGUCUGUGCUGCACAUAAUGCUUGUUUAACUAAUAGCCUCUACCUGCACAUGAUCCAUAUC